ACAUUGUGUUGUCCCUAGGAGAAAGACAUUGUGUUGUCCCUAGGAGAAAGAGAAAGACAUUGUGUUGUCCCUAGGAGAAAGAGAAAGACAUUGUGUUGUCCCUAGGAGAAAGAGAAAGGCAUUGUGUUGUCUCUAGGAGAAAG
rnacentral:lncRNA from 13 species